AGUUUGAUCCUGGCUCAGAUUGAAACGCUGGCGGGAUGCUUUACACAUGCAAGUCGAACGGCAGCACGGACUUCGGUCUGGUGGCGAGUGGCGAACGGGUGAGUAAUGUAUCGGAACGUGCCUAGUAGCGGGGAUAACUACGCGAAAGCGUAGCUAAUACCGCAUACGCCCUUCGGGGGAAAGCGGGGACCUUCGGGCCUCGCACUAUUAGAGCGGCCGAUAUCGGAUUAGCUAGUUGGUGGGGUAACGGCUCACCACAUGACGAUCCGUAGCUGGUUUGAGAGGACGACCAGCCACACUGGGACUGAGACACGGCCCAGACUCCUACGGGAGGCAGCAGUGGGGAAUUUUGGACAAUGGGGGAAACCCCUGAUCCCAGCCAUCCCGGCGUGUGUGCGAUGAAGGCCUUCGGGUUGUAAAGCACUUUUGGCAGGAAAGAAACGGCACGGGAUAAUACCCCGUGCAACUGACGGUACCUGCAGAAUAAGCACCGGCUAACCACGUGCCAGCAGCCGCGGUAAUACGUAGGUGCAAGUUAAUCGGAAUUACUGGGCGUAAAGCGUGCGCAGGCGGUUCGGAAAGAAAGAUGUGAAAUCCCAGAGCUUAACUUUGGAACUGCAUUUUUAACUACCGAGCUUGAGUGUGUCAGAGGGAGGUGGAAUUCGCGUGUAGCAGUGAAAUGCGUAGAUAUGCGGAGGAACACCGAUGGCGAAGGCAGCCUCCUGGGAUAACACUGACGCUCAUGCACGAAAGCGUGGGGAGCAAACAGGAUUAGAUACCCUGGUAGUCCACGCCCUAAACGAUGUCAACUAGCUGUUAGGGCCUUCGGGCCUUGGUAGCGCAGCUAACGCGUGAAGUUGACCGCCUGGGGAGUACGGUCGCAAGAUUAAAACUCAAAGGAAUUGACGGGGACCCGCACAAGCGGUGGAUGAUGUGGAUUAAUUCGAUGCAACGCGAAAAACCUUACCUACCCUUGACAUGUCUGGAAUCCCGAAGAGAUUUGGGAGUGCUCUGCAAGAGAACCGGAACACAGGUGCUGCAUGGCUGUCGUCAGCUCGUGUCGUGAGAUGUUGGGUUAAGUCCCGCAACGAGCGCAACCCUUUGUCAUUAGUUGCUACGAAAGGGCACUCUAAUGAGACUGCCGGUGACAAACCGGAGGAAGGUGGGGUGGAUGACGUCAAGUCCCCAUGGCCCUUAUGGGUAGGGCUUCACACGUCAUACAAUGGUCGGGACAGAGGGUCGCCAACCCGCGAGGGGGAGCCAAUCCCAGAAACCCGAUCGUAGUCCGGAUCGCAGUCUGCGACCUGACUGCGUGAAGUCGGAAUCGCUAGUAAUCGCGGAUCAGCAUGUCGCGGUGAAUACGUUCCCGGGUCUUGUACACACCGCCCGUCACACCAUGGAGUGGGUUUUACCAGAAGUAGUUAGCCUAACCGUAAGGAGGGCGAUUACCACGGUAGGAUUCAUGACUGGGGUGAAGUCGUAACAAGGUAACCUCCCAGCCAUUACCUUGAUGCUCCC
rnacentral:rRNA from 1 species